UCCGGCCGGGAACUCAAAGGAGACUGCCAGUGAUAAACUGGAGGAAGGUGGGGAUGACGUCAAGUCAUCAUGGCCCUUACGACCAGGGCUACACACGUGCUACAAUGGCGCAUACAAAGAGAAGCGACCUCGCGAGAGCAAGCGGACCUCAUAAAGUGCGUCGUAGUCCGGAUUGGAGUCUGCAACUCGACUCCAUGAAGUCGGAAUCGCUAGUAAUCGUGGAUCAGAAUGCCACGGUGAAUACGUUCCAGGGCC
rnacentral:rRNA from 1 species